GCCGCCAUCGUCUAGCCCGGUCUAGGACACAUGGUUCUCAUCCAUGUAACACCGGUUCAAAUCCGGUUGGCGGUGCAA
rnacentral:tRNA from 1 species